AUUCUGACCAACUCAAUGACAAGUGCAAACAGCCAAGUUACAGCAGCAUGAUGACCUCAUUUUACCACACUUCUCUCACAACAGACUGCCCUGGAGCCCAGCAGAACCUUGGUAACAGUGCCUGGAACAUAGUAAGUGCUCAAGUGUUUGUCUUAGUUACCUAGCUACAAUCUCCCUUCCAUCAGGGCUUGUACUGCAGACACUCGGAAUGCGAUGACCUGAAGGAAAUGUUAUUACUUCUUGCUGCUUCAGCCCAGAAAGCGUAUUGCUCUGGUGAAAAUAAGAGGGAAGUAUCUGCUCUUUCCCUAAAUCCUGCCAAUGUUGUCCUUAUUAAUGGCCUAGUUUGGUUGUCAGCUAGACAAGCAUUCUGCCAGCACUUCAUCUGAUUUCCAAACUCCAGCCUUGGUCCCCGCUGCACCCCAUCAGGCGGGGACAUGUCGGGUGUUAGAAGGCGUGCAAGACGUGCUAUCUUAAUCCACCUGCUACUCUUCAAACACACACCUCCUCUGAGUAAAACAGAGGUGUGGACUUGUUUGGGCUGAAGAAAAGCCAAUUGAGCAAUACCUCCAUAAAAAUUAUUGGCUGUUGCUGACUUUUUCCAUACUUAAAACAUCUUUUGGAAUAAGUUCUGUAAGACUGCAGCAUUCUCUAAACAAAUACUCAGAAAAAAUAAUUCAGACAGGAAUAAGCUCAAAGGAUAAUCCAAAAUUUAACAUCUGGCAACUACGCUGAACUUCUAGCUUACCUCUGAUUUUAUUAAUUGUGUAUACUCUUUCCUCUUCAUUCAAGAUAACCUGAUAAUAACAGAGGCCUGCGUAUACAAACAUUUUGGGCAUCUAAUCUUCCAAGUGAGGCAGCCAUCCCAGAAGCUCACAUAAUGUUGAUAAGAUGUAUUGCAUCCAUCAAAAACGUAUUUGGUUUUGUGUGUCUCCCCCAACCCUCCAAAACAGUUUAUCAGACCUCUGUCUCCAUAACCACUACCCGAGAACCUCCAAACCUCAGUGCAAGACAUCACCAACUAUAGUUAAGGCCACUGAAACUGACCAUUCUUUUACCAGGUUUUCUGAAGGCUAUUAUACAGAAUGGCUAGUGCUGAAAAUAGUCACAAACAAGAACAGACCUGUGUUUACAUACCCUCUCCCCCAACAUGGAGCACUACUUCAGAAUUGUUCUAAGUACUCCGUUACGUGGAAACACUUACUCCAUGCAUAUGGCUUCCUGGGGUGUUUUUUCUUCCCCCUCCCUCCUCUCCCUUAAAAAAAAAAAAUUCCCUAAAGUUUAUCAUUUAAAAUAAACAUCAUUAACUUAUUUGAGAAAUGUGGUUGCUUUCUCAAUAUAAGCAAUUGCUUAGAUCUUGCUUAAUGAGAUUCUAACUCCUUGUAACAUUAAAUCCGACAGCAUAGAAGGCAGGAACUUUUCCUAUUUGUGCAGUUAUAUGUACAUAUGUGUGAAUAUAUGUGUAUAUAUACUUGUCUAUAUACUAUCUGUCUAACUUGUNNNNNNNCAUACUUCUGAUAAUCAAGGUUGCAUUUAAGAUGACGUUUCAUACCUCUGGAAAAAAAAAAGGAAGUAAAUGAAGUUCCAUAACUGUUCUGUCCUACAAUAAAGCCAUGGAUGACGACUAGUGAAACUGGGUUAUUACUGCCAAAUCUACAAAGAGCAUGGGAAUAACAGCUGGAAUACGCUGUCCUCCCACUUUCAGUAUUUUAUUUUUCAUUAAGAGUAAUCAUGACUUUUAAGAGAGCAAUGCUUCCGAUUUGGAUUUCUUGUCCAAAUUUAAAAGAAGAAGCAAUUUAAAAGUGAAAGACUGAGAUAAAAUUACCCUGCCCCGAGACCUGCUAGUACACUGGAUAAAAUCUUUAUCCCAAACCAAAGUUGUAACUUACAAAUAGAAUAAAAAUUUUUAAUAGGAACUAUUCAGAGCUUCCUGCUAUGGUAUGAUAUGGUUAGCCCUUUUCUGUACAGAAGAAAGGGUGUUUCUUUCGGAUGGCUUAUGGAUAGUAGAUUUGAAUAACCUCUCCAGGGGAGAGUA
ensembl:lncRNA